rnacentral:misc_RNA from 1 species
UUGCAACAUCUUCGGCACUUGGAUGUUGGCAACAAUCAUUUGGUGGGUACUAUAAGAGAAUUAAUACGUUUUGAGGGUUGCUUUCCUGCACUUCGCAACCUUUACCUAAAUAAUAAUUACCUCACUGGAGGAGUCCCUGCACAACUGGCAAACUUGAGCAAUAUAGAAAUAUUGCAUCUAUCAUAUAAUAAGAUGUCUGGAAUAAUACCUGCUGGACUUGCUCAUAUUCCUAGAUUGACUCACUUAUACUUGGAUCACAAUCAAUUUUCAGGGAGAAUUCCUGAUGCCUUCUAUAAACAUCCGUACUUGAAAGAAAUGUACAUUGAAGGAAAUGCUUUCAGGCCAGGCGUAAACCCAAUAGGUGUCCAUAAAGUACUUGAAGUCUCUGAUGCAGAUUUCUUAGUUUAGCAGACAUCAGCCUGUUCUUUAAUUGUCUGGAUGCUGCGAUCUUAUUU